rnacentral:rRNA from 1 species
AAUCAACGCUGGCGGCGUGCCUCAGACAUGCAAGUCGAACGAGAAAGUUUCCUUCGGGAGACGAGUACAGUGGCGUCCGGGUGAGUAACACGUGGGUAAUUUACCUUUGGGUGGGGAAUAGCAGCCGGAAACGGCUAUUAAUACCGCAUAAUGCAGCGGCUCGACAUCGAGACAGUUGUUAAAGCGGGGAUCUGACAAGGACCUCGCGCCUAAAGAGAAGCCUGCGGCGGAUUAGCUAGUUGGUAAGGUAAUGGCUUACCAAGGCGACGAUCCGUAACCGGCCUGAGAGGGCGGUCGGUCACACUGACACUGACAUACGGGUCAGACUCCUACGGGAGGCAGCAGUCGGGAAUUUUGGGCAAUGGGCGAAAGCCUGACCCAGCAACGCCGCGUGAAGGAUGAAAUCCCUCGGG